rnacentral:rRNA from 1 species
GGAGCUUGCUCCUUUGACGUUAGCGGCGGACGGGUGAGUAACACGUGGGCAACCUACCUUAUAGUUUGGGAUAACUCCGGGAAACCGGGGCUAAUACCGAAUAAUCUGUUUCACCUCAUGGUGAAAUAUUGAAAGACGGUUUCGGCUGUCGCUAUAGGAUGGGCCCGCGGCGCAUUAGCUAGUUGGUGAGGUAACGGCUCACCANGGCGACGAUGCGUAGCCGACCUGAGAGGGUGAUCGGCCACACUGGGACUGAGACACGGCCCAGACUCCUACGGGAGGCAG